rnacentral:rRNA from 1 species
GACGAACGCUGGCGGCGUGCUUAACACAUGCAAGUCGAGCGGUAAGGCCCUUUCGGGGGUACACGGAGCGGCGAACGGGUGAGUAACACGUGGGUGACCUGCCCUCAGCUCUGGGAUAAGGCCUGGGAAACCCGGGUCUAAUACUGGAUAUGACUCCAUGACGCAUGUUGUGGGGUGGAAAGCCUUGUGCGGCUGAGGAUGGGCCCGCGGCCUAUCAGCUUGUUGGUGGGGUGANGGCCUACCAAGGCGACGACGGGUAGCCGGCCUGAGAGGGCGACCGGCCACACUGGGACUGAGACACGGCCCAGACUCCUACGGGAGGCAGCAGUGGGGAAUCUUGCGCAAUGGGCGAAAGCCUGACGCAGCGACGCCGCGUGAGGGAUGACGGCCU